UACAGAGGGGGCAAGCGUUGUUCGGAAUUACUGGGCGUAAAGCGCGUGUAGGCGGUUCGUAAAGUCGGAUGUGAAAUCCCCGGGCUCAACCUGGGAACUGCACUUGUGACUGCAUCGCUGGAGUGCGGCAGAGGGGGAUGGAAUUCCGCGUGUAGCAGUGAAAUGCGUAGAUAUGCGGAGGAACACCGAUGGCGAAGGCAACCCCCUGGGCCUGCACUGACGCUCAUGCACGAAAGCGUGGGGAGCAAACAGG
rnacentral:rRNA from 1 species